CCCUUAGAUGUUCUGGGCCGCACGCGCGCUACACUGACGGAGUCAACGAGUUGUCCUGCAUCGGAAGGUGUGGGUAAUCUUUUGAAACUUCGUCGUGCUGGGGAUAGAUCUUUGCAAUUUUCGAUCUUGAACGAGGAAUUCCUAGUAAGCGUGAUUCAUCAGAUCGCGUUGAUUACGUCCCUGCCCUUUGUACACACCGCCCGUCGCUACUACCGAUUGAAUGGUUUAGUGAGGCCUCGGGACUAGCGCGCUCGAGUAGCAAUACACCUGCGCGCCGGGAACUUGGUCAAACUUGAUCAUUUAGAGGAAGUAAAAGUCGUAACA
rnacentral:rRNA from 1 species